CGACGACGCAGGAGUACUUUCCGGCCACCAUUUUUAGCCACGCGCUGGACCGUUGGAUUCAGAGGCCUCCGAACUAUCGACCCACGCGGGAAUCUAGAGCUCACUCGCCGAUUAAACGCCUCAACCACUCGAUUUAAGUUCGGCCACCCCGCGACUUCAAAGUUGCGAUUCGGCCACCUCGGGCAUCCGUUUGCCGAUCCGUCACCACCAUCGUGUUCCUCGUGUUGUGGGCUUCAAAACCCAAUAACUUGUUCCUACAUCUACCAUAGUUGGGUGGUGGGCCCACCACGAGCCACCGCGAUCCACCGUAGACCGACGGUCGAAACUUAGUGUUCGAGGUUCCGAAGUACGUUUUGAGUCUCAGAAAAUCAUCGUUUGACUUAUUGUGGAACCCGAUCAUUUUGGUAUAAUUUCUUUAACCUAUAUAUUGUGAUUUAAUUGUGAUUGAUUAGAGUAAUUGUUAUUAUGUGUAUUUAUGGUAUAUAAUUAUAUAUUAUUGAUAUAUGGAAUAUUUUCUGUAAUUUACUGGCUGUCUGGGAUUAUAUAUAUUUUUUAUACAGGUUUUGAUUUUGGAAUUGUCCACUUUAUAGCCGUUGUGCUGUCUAAUUUUCUAGAAAAUAUUAGAUAUUAAAUCAAGUAUAAAAAUACAUAUUUAAUUGAUUUUAUAUUAAUAUGGAAAUUAUUAUGAUUAAGUAAUUUUAAUUAUUAUUGUUAUUAUUUUGUUAAGUAAAUCAAGAAUACAGAUUCAUAUAUAUAUAUGAAAAGUAUGAUUUAUAGUAAACCUAUUAUCUAACCAUUAUUAUUGUAUAUUAAUAUUUGAAUAUUAAAAUAAUAUCAAAUAUUAGUUUCCUACAGUUAUUGAUAUUUGUAAGACCGGUGAAGUUUGGAGAAAGUAUAUUUAUUAUAUCACUGGAAUUGAUAUUAUGACUAACUAAUAAUAAUAUAAAUAUUUAUAUUUAUAUUAUUAUCAUUAUAUUGAUUAUUACAACUUUAUGUUACAAAUAUGAUUUCUUUUAUAAAAUGACUAUUUGAAUAUAUACAUCCAUAUACGUAUUGCUAUUGAAGUAUUUUGUUAUUAAUAUCGAAAUAAGUUUAAUUAUAGACGAUAAUUAUUAUUGUUGUUAGGAUUAUAAUUAUUAUUAUUAUUUAUAUAGUUUCUGGUAUGAUUAAUAUACACUAUCAAUAGUGUAUAUUUACGGAUUAGAUAGAAUUUAAUAAAUUAUGUGCCUUGAAUAGGAUUUGUAUGGAUUUGAUUGAUUGACUCUUGGUGAGCCGUUUUAAAAUAAGCUAAGGACCUAAGGUAAGUAAAUCUCACCUUUUGUGCUUAAGUGUAAGAUGCAUGACUACAUUGAUUGUGUACAUCUGAUGAGUUAAGUAUGGUAUGAUGAUGAUGCAUAUGAUAAGUAUGUGAAGAAUGGUUAUAUGAACACCAUAAGGGUGUUGUGUGAUAUGUAAUUGAUGAAUUCUGUGAUAUGUGAAAGAUGUCUUACUUGGUUAAGAAUGAUAUGAAUUAUGUGCAAGUAUGUGUUCUUAUGUUGAUGGAUAUGUGGAUUACUCUAUGUUCAUGAUUUGUUAUAUGUUAUGAUAUAUGAAGCGUUUAAGUUUUUAGGCUGGAAACCUUAGACCUGAGCCAUAGCUCUACGUUAAGGUAUAACAACGCCACCAACCCAAAGCUUCAUGUAUUAUGACUAAAGAUGUUUUGAGUUAUAUGAGAUGUGAUACAAUGCCUUGAUUGAAUACCAUCAACAUCAGUCAUGAACACGAACAUUGGCAUUUCAGCAUCAGCAUGUAUGCAUGGCAUGUACAUUUAUGUGAUACAUUAUUAUGUGAUAUAAGACCAUGCAUAUGGAUAUGAGAAAAGUUAUGAAAUGUCUUGAAAAGUCUUAUGUAAAGUUAAACAUUUUAAUGACACAAGGCUUAAGCAAAGUGAUAAUAAGAUGUUUAAAAAGGGUGCCACUGUUUUGAUGAAGCAAUCAAGUAAGUUCAGUAAAGAAGACGGAAGUCUAUAAGACUUAUAGUGGCUGCCCACUAGUGUGGGCUAGGUCAGAGUUGACCAUUCAGAUAUGUUUGCCAUGUUUCCGUCUUUCUCCUCCAUAUGUGUAAUAAGUAUGGCAGCUAUGGCAACGAUGAAAUGAGUGUUAUGAUGAGCCUAGCUGAGAUGAUGGCUAGCCGGAGGAGAACCCAUGGGAUUCUAUAUGAUAUGUGUAACAAGCCCUGCAGGCAUUGGCUGAAUCAAACAGUGUGCACAAGUGAUAUUGGGCCCAUAAAAAUGUGAAACUAACAGAAAGAGCAUAAAAGUAAAGUUUGAAAGUGCAUGAGCAAUAAAUGGAAUGCAUAAGUAUAUAAGUCAGCAUAUUAAUAUAUGUGCACUACAAACUCACGACAUUCAUGUGUAUGUGUAUGCAUGAGAUUUGCUUACUGAGCGUUAGCUCAUUAUGUUAUUUUCCAACAUUUUUCCAGGUGUGGCUUUAGCUGUUGAGCAACUUGUGGAGCACGGACUCAGUAGCAAUGCAAUAAUGGUUUAGAGUUUUCAUAUGGCUGCCUUAAAUUUAAAGUAUUCAUACGUGUAAUAAUUUCUUCUAAUAAGUUUAUAUAAAAGUUUUAAAUUUUUCUGUAUUUCUUCGUAUCAUUUUAUUUAAUUCUUUUGGUCAAGUGCCUUACAUACUCGUAAACCCUAGAAUUACGAGUAUGUGGCAGACGUACCCUACCUUAGGGACGUUACAAAUGGUAUCAGAGCUUUGAGUUUGUAGAUGUCGUAUACUCGUUAUGUUAUUAGAUUUUGGGAUCUGAAAUGCUACUGAGUUCCGCCACAAGACAAGCCACACGUUAAUGGGCAAGAAGUCGGUUUUGACAACGAAAGGGUUUCACAGAGACUUGGUUUUAAAGAAUAAUCUUCAUCGGCUAUAUAAUUGUUUUCUAGUUAUCCAAUUUUUUUUAUGCCGAAAAACUUUCUAUUGAACAAACUUGUUGCUCAAUUUAGCAUCUAUUAUCAAGGUAUAACCAGUCAUUUGCAUCUGCUUAAAAAAAAAAAAAAAAAAAUUGACUGUAAAACAUGAAGAUCAAGGAUGUUUUCAUGAUGAUGGUCAUUUUCUCUUCUUACGUUAUGUGGUUUGUGUUCAAAAGUAUGGAUGAUGAGGAUUCGUUUGUAUUUUCGUAUACAUUCAUUGUAAUUUAUACUAUUGUUAUAGCUUAUUUCCUUUCUAUCUAUAUUGUAGUCCUCAUGUGAGGUGUUUACACAUCCUCGCCUUUUUAUAUAUGAUAAGGAUUACAAGAAGUCAGGAAUAAGUUUUGUUUUCGGGGUGAAAGUAAGUGUUGUGUAUAAAAUCUUAUGCUGUGAAAUGUUGUUCUGUUUAUUUGUAAUGGUAGUUCUUGUCUCCGAUUAUCAAAUUUUAGUUUGAAAUUUCGAGGACGAAAUUAUUUUAACGGGGGAAGGAUUGUAAUAUCCAACAUUUUCAUAAUACAUUUAUUUAUUAUAAAUCAAAGUUUUAAUACAUAAAAUGUACAACUUUACAAAUUUAAGAAAUAGUAAUGGAAAAAUAGUGUUUAAAAUAUGAUUUUAUGUUUUUAAUGAGAUUAAAGAAAGAGAAACUUGAGUAGUCAAGUAUUGGACCCAAAUGUCAUAUAAUUUUAAUUGGGGAUUUUUAUAAAAUUAAGAAAGUUUGGCUAAAGGGCUUAUUUGAAAAGAAUUUUAGUAUUUUGGGUCCAAGUAUAAUUUUUAAAAAUAAAUAAAUAAAUAAAUAAAUAAAAUAAAAAUAAAAUAAAAGGCUUCAGCCUUUCAUUUUACCCGAGCCCCUCUCUCUCUCUCCUCAGAAACUCUCUCCCUCUCUCUCUCUCUCUCUCUCUCUCUCUCUCUCUCCUCUGCGUAUUACUGUUGCCGACGACGCAGGAGUACUUUCCGGCCACCAUUUUUAGCCACGCGCUGGACCGUUGGAUUCAGAGGCCUCCGAACUAUCGACCCACGCGGGAAUCUAGAGCUCACUCGCCGAUUAAACGCCUCAACCACUCGAUUUAAGUUCGGCCACCCCGCGACUUCAAAGUUGCGAUUCGGCCACCUCGGGCAUCCGUUUGCCGAUCCGUCACCACCAUCGUGUUCCUCGUGUUGUGGGCUUCAAAACCCAAUAACUUGUUCCUACAUCUACCAUAGUUGGGUGGUGGGCCCACCACGAGCCACCGCGAUCCACCGUAGACCGACGGUCGAAACUUAGUGUUCGAGGUUCCGAAGUACGUUUUGAGUCUCAGAAAAUCAUCGUUUGACUUAUUGUGGAACCCGAUCAUUUUGGAUUUGUAUGGAUUUGAUUGAUUGACUCUUGGUGAGCCGUUUUAAAAUAAGCUAAGGACCUAAGGUAAGUAAAUCUCACCUUUUGUGCUUAAGUGUAAGAUGCAUGACUACAUUGAUUGUGUACAUCUGAUGAGUUAAGUAUGGUAUGAUGAUGAUGCAUAUGAUAAGUAUGUGAAGAAUGGUUAUAUGAACACCAUAAGGGUGUUGUGUGAUAUGUAAUUGAUGAAUUCUGUGAUAUGUGAAAGAUGUCUUACUUGGUUAAGAAUGAUAUGAAUUAUGUGCAAGUAUGUGUUCUUAUGUUGAUGGAUAUGUGGAUUACUCUAUGUUCAUGAUUUGUUAUAUGUUAUGAUAUAUGAAGCGUUUAAGUUUUUAGGCUGGAAACCUUAGACCUGAGCCAUAGCUCUACGUUAAGGUAUAACAACGCCACCAACCCAAAGCUUCAUGUAUUAUGACUAAAGAUGUUUUGAGUUAUAUGAGAUGUGAUACAAUGCCUUGAUUGAAUACCAUCAACAUCAGUCAUGAACACGAACAUUGGCAUUUCAGCAUCAGCAUGUAUGCAUGGCAUGUACAUUUAUGUGAUACAUUAUUAUGUGAUAUAAGACCAUGCAUAUGGAUAUGAGAAAAGUUAUGAAAUGUCUUGAAAAGUCUUAUGUAAAGUUAAACAUUUUAAUGACACAAGGCUUAAGCAAAGUGAUAAUAAGAUGUUUAAAAAGGGUGCCACUGUUUUGAUGAAGCAAUCAAGUAAGUUCAGUAAAGAAGACGGAAGUCUAUAAGACUUAUAGUGGCUGCCCACUAGUGUGGGCUAGGUCAGAGUUGACCAUUCAGAUAUGUUUGCCAUGUUUCCGUCUUUCUCCUCCAUAUGUGUAAUAAGUAUGGCAGCUAUGGCAACGAUGAAAUGAGUGUUAUGAUGAGCCUAGCUGAGAUGAUGGCUAGCCGGAGGAGAACCCAUGGGAUUCUAUAUGAUAUGUGUAACAAGCCCUGCAGGCAUUGGCUGAAUCAAACAGUGUGCACAAGUGAUAUUGGGCCCAUAAAAAUGUGAAACUAACAGAAAGAGCAUAAAAGUAAAGUUUGAAAGUGCAUGAGCAAUAAAUGGAAUGCAUAAGUAUAUAAGUCAGCAUAUUAAUAUAUGUGCACUACAAACUCACGACAUUCAUGUGUAUGUGUAUGCAUGAGAUUUGCUUACUGAGCGUUAGCUCAUUAUGUUAUUUUCCAACAUUUUUCCAGGUGUGGCUUUAGCUGUUGAGCAACUUGUGGAGCACGGACUCAGUAGCAAUGCAAUAAUGGUUUAGAGUUUUCAUAUGGCUGCCUUAAAUUUAAAGUAUUCAUACGUGUAAUAAUUUCUUCUAAUAAGUUUAUAUAAAAGUUUUAAAUUUUUCUGUAUUUCUUCGUAUCAUUUUAUUUAAUUCUUUUGGUCAAGUGCCUUACAUACUCGUAAACCCUAGAAUUACGAGUAUGUGGCAGACGUACCCUACCUU